CAGCAGCCGCGGUAAUACGUAGGGUGCGAGCGCUAAUCGGAAUUACUGGGCGUAAAGCGUACGCAGGCGGUUUUGUAAGACGGGCGUGAAAUCCCCGGGCUCAACCUGGGAAUGGCGCUUGUGACUGCAAAGCUAGAGUGCGGCAGAGGGGGGUGGAAUUCCGCGUGUAGCAGUGAAAUGCGUAGAUAUGCGGAGGAACACCGAUGGCGAAGGCAAUCCCCUGGGCCUGCACUGACGCUCAUGCACGAAAGCGUGGGGAGCAAACAGGAUUAGAUACCCCGGUAGUCCCUGUCUCUUAUAC
rnacentral:rRNA from 1 species